CAGCACCACUCCUCACAGCCUCCCAUUAACAACAAAGGGAUAUUCUUUUGCAUUUAAUUUUUCACUGGACAAGAAACUCUUUCUGUGGUUUGGCUUGCGGGGAUGAGUCUGAAAAGAAAUCAAGUGGAACUGGCAAACUGAAAUUAGCUUGUACUCAGAGACACUUGGGUCCUGAUGAGGCUUCCCAAGGCGAGGAGAGGAGAUGGGGAGGCAGCCAGGGAAGUGAGAAGAAAACCAGCUCAUACUCCAGUUACUACUUGUAAUUAUUUAGACUUCCCUUCAGACAAAAUCCUUUCGAAACUUCUCCUCUACCAUCUCAAAACCUUCACUUUGAGAAGAUCCUUCUGCCAGGAGAAAGUGGCCCUGACAGUCGCUGGGACUACGCAGCAAAGCUGUGGGCAGCAGGGAGCCCAGCGGGUGCCCUGCCACUGAAGCUCAGGCACCUUCGCUCCAGUUGCUGCUUGGCCUAAGCAGGGAUGAGAGGAUCAGCACUGGAUAAAGCAACACUACUCUGAAAUCACUCUUCGGCAUGACAACAAAAGACAAAUUCCUAAAGCAACGAGUGUUACAGGCUGUCUGUGAUGCUGUCUCUAAGCAAAAUGCAUCCCUCCUAUGAAGCACAGGCAAUUCUGCAGCAUGGUAAACUCAGUGAGGUCUCACCACCCAAAAGUGAAUU